CAGUAGCCGCGGUAAUACGUAGGGUGCGAGCGUUAAUCGGAAUUACUGGGCGUAAAGCGCACGCAGGCGGUUUGUUAAGUCAGAUGUGAAAUCCCCGGGCUCAACCUGGGAAUGGCAGUGGAUACUGGCUCGCUAGAGUGUGUCAGAGGAUGGUGGAAUUCCCGGUGUAGCGGUGAAGUGCGUAGAGAUCGGGAGGAACAUCAGUGGCGAAGGCGGCCAUCUGGGACAACACUGACGCUGAGGCACGAAAGCGUGGGGAGCAAACAGGAUUAGAUACCCCCGUAGUCCCUGUCUCUUAUAC
rnacentral:rRNA from 1 species